rnacentral:rRNA from 1 species
AAGCCUGAUGCAGCGACGCCGCGUGAGGGAUGACGGCCUUCGGGUUGUAAACCUCUUUCAGCAGGGAAGAAGCGCAAGUGACGGUACCUGCAGAAGAAGCACCGGCUAACUACGUGCCAGCAGCCGCGGUAAUACGUAGGGUGCGAGCGUUGUCCGGAAUUAUUGGGCGUAAAGAGCUCGUAGGCGGCCUGUCGCGUCGGAUGUGAAAGCCCGGGGCUCAACCCCGGGUCUGCAUUCGAUACGGGCAGGCUAGAGUGUGGUAGGGGAGAUCGGAAUUCCUGGUGUAGCGGUGAAAUGCGCAGAUAUCAGGAGGAACACCGGUGGCGAAGGCGGAUCUCUGGGCCAUUACUGACGCUGAGGAGC